UGGGGAAUUGUUCGCAAUGGGCGCAAGCCUGACGACGCAACGCCGCGUGGAGGAUGAAGGCCUUAGGGUUGUAAAACUCUUUCGUCGGGGACGAUAAUGACGGUACCCGCAGAAUAAGCCCCGGCUAACUUCGUGCCAGCAGCCGCGGUAAUACGAAGGGGGCUAGCGUUGUUCGGAAUCACUGGGCGUAAAGCGCACGUAGGCGGAUUUGUAAGUCAGGGGUGAAAUCCCGGGGCUCAACCUCGGAACUGCCUUUGAUACUGCAAGUCUCGAGUUCGGGAGAGGUGAGUGGAAUUCCUAGUGUAGAGGUGAAAUUCGUAGAUAUUAGGAAGAACACCAGUGGCGAAGGCGGCCACCUGGUUGGAUACUGACGCUGAGACGCGAAAGCGUGGGGAGCAAACAGGAUUAGAUACCCUUGUAGUCCCUGAGCGGGCUGGCAAGGCGCAU
rnacentral:rRNA from 1 species